rnacentral:rRNA from 1 species
UACGAAGGUGGCAAGCGUUACUCGGAAUUACUAGGCGUAAAGGGCAGGUAGGCGGUUUGGUUAGUCUGUUGUGAAAGCUCCCGGCUUAACCGGGAGAGGUCAACAGAUACUGCCAGGCUUGAGUAUGGGAGAGGGUACUGGAAUUCCUGGUGUAGCGGUGAAAUGCGCAGAUAUCAGGAGGAACACCGAUGGCGAAAGCAGGUACCUGGACCAUUACUGACGCUGAGGAGCGAAAGCCAGGGGAGCAAACGGG